UAAUCCCUUCCCGAGAGACUCUUCUAUUUCUGUAGUGGAGUGUCCACGGGGCGUUGGCACUGGGCGCCUUAUUUUUAGGCGGCCCGAGCCGAAAUGAAGCGGCGGACUCGCGGCGGCCCCUAGCGCAGUAGAACAACCCUUCUCGCUUAGGAGAGCUGCAGCGGCGGACCACAGCCCUUACAUGCUUUUAAAAAGCUACAUCUAAAA
rnacentral:misc_RNA from 1 species